UUUUCUUUCUCCCCUAGGUCCAAGGCUCCUGUCCAAAACCCAGGCCACGUAAACAAUUACAUCCAUUCCUGUCACUCUUCCCCUAGUUCUGUGGUUACUUUCCCUCCCUACCCCUACCCCAGCCACAGGGACUCUUGGACCCUGGCUCUUUCCCUACUUGAUUCAGCAUGAGCUUUUCACCCACAGCACAUGGGGCAGUAGUGGAGAGAGCUUUGGAGUUAGAGAGCCUGGCUCUGAAUUCUGGUUGUAACUCUUUCUUUCCCUCCCUGAUUUCUCAGUUUCUUCUGUAUAUUUGGGCUCAUAAAAGUUGGUAGAAGGUAACAAUCAGAGGGCACUUGCUGUAUUCAAGGCACUGAGCAAAGAACUUUAUAUGUUUUCUCCCACAACAAUGCUACACAACAGGUUUUUAAAAAAUCCCCAAAUCUGGGUGAGGAAGCAGAGGCCCAAAGAGGUUUGCUGCUCGCCCAGGGUCUUACAAGAAGUGGAGCCAGGAUUCCGGGCAGUCUGACUCCAAAGACUUUGCUGUUAACUGUUAACGUAGAGAGAUGGUUGUUGGGUUGAGCCUCCAGUCCAUACAUGGCGGCGCCUGAACUUUCCAGGGGGCGUUUCCUGUUUGCUCUGUUUUAUCCAGUGUUUCCAAGCAGCAGGAGAGUGUUUCAGGUUGUCAGCUCCACAUAGAGCCUUAAAUGCGAGCCUCACUAUCCAGGGCUGUUGUGAGAAAGCGUCAGGUAGACCAUGUGGCUAGAUGUAACAGUCAUUGAAGAUGGUGUUUAUAGAGAAUUUUUACCGAUAUGAGGAAAGCUUAUAACAAAGUGAUCAAAGCAGAAUGUGCAACUAUGUGUAGAGUAUGAGCUGAACUCUUAGAAAGUUGUGCUGGCCGUGGUCAACAGUUAUUAACCACAUGGAACCCAGGACUGUGCCUACUGACGGUGCCAAGAAAUACUGAUCUGAUGACUGAAGGAAGGAGGGAAUGAGGAAGACUUUGGACUGGUUAGAUCACCAUCUCCAACAGACCAAGAUCCUAAGGCACCGGAUGUUUAUGACUUCCUCCUUCAGUGGAUUGGGAAAGGCCUGCUGGUCCUUCAUGGGCCCAAGUGGUUCCAGCACCGCAAGCUGCUCACGCCUGGCUUCCAUUAUGAUGUACUGAAGUCCUACGUCGCCAUGUUCGCUGACUCCAUGCAUGCAAUGCUGCAUGGAACACAGGACUGUGCCUACUGACGGUGCCAAGAAAUACUGAUCUGAUGACUGAAGGAAGGAGGGAAUGAGGAAGACUUUGGACUGGUUAGAUCACCAUCUCCAACAGACCAAGGCCAUCAUAUCUCUGGGUUCAGCCACACCUUCAGGCUAUGGUGAAGGGCAUUAAAGGAAAGCAAGACUGUGAUUCCUGCAGGGAAGAAGAAGAAGAAAGAAGUCUGAUCAUACUCAUGGGAUAGUGGCUCAAAUCCAUGUAAAAGCCCUGGUCCCCUGGCCAGAGCCCACCUGGGUGAUAUCCUGGCAUGUCCAAUCUGCUGCUGAGGCUUCCGCUUCCCAGGCCAGCCAGUGUCAGUUUGUCUUGCUGUCCAGUGGAAAUGACAUUUGCUCUAGUCCACGGUGCUGAAGAUGUGGAGGUGUGAGAAGAGUGAACUCUGUUAUCCACCAUAGCCCUCCUUUCCCUUGGCAAUAACCAAGUGUGGAUCCAACCUGGCUUGUCUACUUUUAACUACAACCAGAAAAUCUGCACAAUUGGUACUAUUUCUCUCACUUCCUUCAUCUAUGAAGGCCAACGCCUUCUAGGAUCUUCAGUCCUACUUCACUGAGUACUAUAGUUUAGCAGGAGUACUUUCACACUUCACUUGGGAGCCUGUAUACAUUGUUUACUGCAACCUGUUCUUAAACAGAAAAUAUUUUAAAAGCAACAGCUUUCUCUUGAGAAACCUUCGUCCAGACUUACCAAGAAAAAAAGAGAGGACUCAAAUGAAUAAAAUCAGAAAUGAAAAAGGAGACCUAAUAACCGAUA